ensembl:lncRNA
AGGGAGAAUGUCUUGUUUGUGGCUUGUCAGCAAUUGCUUGAGACAAGCUUCCAUGUGUGAAAGCUACUUGGCAUGAAUGCCUGGGCCGUACCAAGUGUCACCGCAGCAAGGGGGGAGUCAGAAGAAAAACAGAUCAGACCAGAGCAGACAAUAGGCCCCUAAAGUGUUCCCCCUAAGUUGCUUUGAUGUUGUCCUAGUGUCUUGAUACCAGGAGGCCAGGGAUUGCAGGAAAAGGGUCUUUUUUGUCUUCAUUCACUUUCCCCCCUCAGUUUCUGAAAUGAUUCUCCAGAAUUUCUCCUCAUAAAAAAGGAAUCAGAAAACGAAAUCCUCGGAUCUACGCAUCCCAGGCUGGGGAUCUAUAGUUGUCCAGCCAUCCAAUAAGGGCAUACAGAUCCCUCAAGUGGCCAAAUGGUACACCAGUUUCAGCUCUCAGCUGUACAGCGUGGUGUUGAGUAGUGCUAGGAUACUGGCAGGUGGGUCAUUUAUCCAUUUACACUUUGAUUGGAGAUUUUACUCUGUAGUUAAGAAUUCCUAAUUUUCCUUACACAUAAUACCAGGCUUUCUGAACUUCUUUUUUGAGACAGUCCUAAUUUAAAACAUUCUAUCUUGUCCCCAUAAGUAUAUUCACGAUUGGUAAUCUAUGUGUUCUGAUUACUUCAGGUUGUUAAUUAAAUUGAGCUUCUGCAUCCUAAUCCUGUUUAAAGAGGUCAAGCAGACUUCUUCUGCAUAUGGACUUUGUCCAUUUGCAGUGAGAAUGUACAUACCCAGCUAAGAUCUCUUGUUUUGGUUUGGUUCAGUUUUUUGCUCGAAUCCCCUUUUCCCAGACUCUGUCGAUGGACGUUAUGCUCAAGUGGCUUGGCUCAAAUGCCACUUUUGUCACAGUCUUUCUCGAUUUCUAGAACCUGAAGAAUCUCUCCAGCCCCACAGUGUCCAUGUUAUCUUGUACUUUUCUUGGAAUGAUCAGACUAGCUACGUGUGUUCACUAUCACAAAUCCCUUAAUGGGUGAUAAACAAGAGAGCAGGACUUGAGGUUCUAAUCACCUAUGUAUCCCUCAAAACACCCAACAGGUCCCUGCCUUACAAGUGGUUGGUGCUCAGAGAUGUUUAUUGAACUGAACUGAAUUCUUGAAUUCUUGGAUUGGCUUUGGGUAUGAUAACAUUGAUGUCUGAGUCCCAGUUUCCUUUUGGAAAAGAAACAGUGCUUUUAAAAAGAGGCGUCUUAACUGAUUUUAGGGUGAAAGAAACCAUGUAAUAUAAACAGGAAUUGUAAUUAUUAUUAACAAGCAUCAUUGAAUAGCAUGAACUGAUAGAAUUAUUUCUUUUGCUUGCUUUUGCUGGCAGAGUGGGCAGGCUUGAUAAACUAACUGGUCUUUUCCAUCUCUAAUAUAUCUGUGAUUCUUUGAAAUUUUAUGUAGACAAGUGCAAGCUAAUGUACACUGGAAGGAACAAUUGAAACAGCUCAUACUCACUGAUGGGCUCUGAAUUACUCUACUUGUAAGUGCUCAGGAAAAAGAUCUCAGAUUCAUUGUGGACUGCUCAAUGGAGACAUCUGCUCGCUGUGCAGUGGCAGUCAGGAGAAUGAAUGAGAUAUAAUAGGCUGUAUUAACUUUGAGAAUGGGAUAAAGAAUAAUGCAGAAAAUAAUAUGGUGCACAUAAUUUGGCAUUGACUAUUUCUGUAAUUACAAUAAAACUUUUUAAUGAUAUACAUUGAUGUUAUGACUUCACCUUAAAAUCAAAAUUCGGCAUUGGAUCUUUUCAUUUCAAAGAAAACAAAGCAGAAAUACAAAGGAUCCAGAGAAAAACAACAGACUGUCUCCAAGACAUACAAGGAAUUUGCCUGUAAUGAAAAACUGAAAAGACAAGGACAUUUUAAUUUGGAUAAAGGGGCAAAAAUGACAUUGUAUAAAUUUCUUUGAAAUUAAUGAAACUUUCAGAAAAUUGCUAGAGCUAGCUUCUGAUUAUCCCUGGUAAUGGAGGUCAGAGAUAGGCAGGAUAAUUGAAAUCCCUGAUAAUCUCCAGCCCUCAUUUCAGCUAUUAGUUGCAGCGUCCUGUCCUAUGAAAAGUUUUGCUAGACACACAAAUACAAGACAGCAGCCCAAGGUUUGUAAUCUAAAAGCCCCUUGAGAAAGGCCGCCUGGGGUGCGCUGGGGAGCACACAGAAUUUGGAAGAAGGUAGCCAGGGUUCUAGUCCCUACUUUCUGUUUAUCAUCUGUGCAAACUUGAGUGAGAUGCUUAACUCCUGUGAGACCCAGUUCCCUCAUCUGUAAAAUGGAGACAGUAGUAAUAUUUAUUUUAUGAGUUUGUUGGGAGAACUAAAUGAGCUAAUUGGAAGUGGUUGGUGAGCUGUGAUGGAUGAGGUUGAGAGCUGGUUGUUAAGAGCGCCUGCUUUCCGAUUUGACUUGCCCACAGACAUGGCUCGCAGCACCUGCGGGGCUUACUCCACGCUUUCCCUUCUCCUGAUUCUUCUACUGCUUAUGUUCAUGGCAGGAGACUUUAGAAAAGGUAUGCAACAUUUCCUUCAUCUCUAGAAUCAUCGCAGCAUGCCUAUUACGUUGGUCCCAGAAAACCUUAAGAUAGUUUUGCAUAUGUUUUAUUAAUGCGUGUGAUUAUUUAAAGGUCACCUCCCGUAAUUUUCACAGUAGCCCUUUGAAAUGCAUACUGUAAUUAUCCUCGCCUUCUGGAUGCAGACACUGAGGCACAGACAGUUUGCUUAAGGACAUGUAGUAAUGGCAGAAUAGAGUCAAACCUAUGCUAUCUUGCCUCUGGGUUGAUUUACAGUCUAGAAAACUGACUUAUGUGACUAUACUGAUCCCUCCCCUGGGGAGUAAAUGGCCCUUCCUUGUUUCCUAGGAACUCCUGCUCUAUCCUUUGGCACCCAAUUCAGAACUCACCUCUGCCAUGGAGCCCCAUCCUAAACCUUCUCUUCCCCCGGAAGAAGUCAUCUUGUCUGCCUUAGUACCCUGUGUUGUAGCUCUUAAUAUAUUAUUAUGUUAACAACAGUAGAAACCCUCAACCCCUAUUCAAUUAAUAGUUCAAGUAAUAGUUGGUGAUUUGGUUGAACAAGUUAGUUAAAGCAGGAAUCAUAUGAAAUGAUGGAAUCAUUCCUUAAGCCUUUAUUUCAACUUAAAACAUCUCUCAAGUUUUUGAUGUAGGGCCAAGGCCUCGUCUUUUGAGUUUAGGGCCUCCCAUUAGAGCUCUGCGUCCUACUUCUUGUAUAAGUCACACUUCCGAGGCUUUUGCAAUUAUUUUCUCUUGGUUUCUUCAAAGUGGAGCAAGGUCUCAAAGACAUUUUGUGAGGCAAUCAGAUUCUCCCAUAUUUAAUGAUGUUUUACAGUUGGCUCUCCCACGCCUGUGCUGACAGCACAUUUUUUAGUAACUAACUUUAAUGUGCCUUUCCCAAACGUUCAACUGAGAUCUUGUAGAAACAACUUCUCUCUUUUGCACUCAUAUUUCAUUACUUUAAGAAAGUUUAGUUAAAUUGUGUAAUUACAAUGAUAAUUAGGUUUGGGAGCAAACACACUGACUUCUGGUCAGCAGACAAACCCACUGGUGGGAGGAGCAGAAGGCAGGCAUCCUAGAGCAGCCAACUACUAGCUGUGAUCACUUAAGAGAGCCCCUGCUCAGUGUGGCUUCUGUUCCAUGCGUGGCCUAAAAGAUGAAUGCCUUGAAGGUCUAGCUUUUAUCUUUAUCUUUCUAGUUAUUCUAGCUAGAACCUAGUGCAGUGAUGGGUUCCCUAAGCCUCAAUAAACAUUCACUAACUAGCUAAAUGACCACACCAAUAAAAACAAAACUCAGCUUUGCCUCUGCACAUCUGGUGGGGGUCCUAAGCAACAACCUACUGUCCUGAAGUUGGAUUAGGGAAAGGGAGAAAGAGCUAGCAAAUGAAUUUUUAAUAUUGCUGUAAGAGAUAAUGAUAUAUACCAUUAAAUAGUUAAACGGAAGGCAGCUAUAAAGAAGGAUUUUGUGUAGUAUGUAAUAAACCUGGGUAACUCACUUAUACACAAUAACAGUGAGGCAACACGAUUGAUAACAUUUUAUAAAGGAUUAGAUAUGUUCUUACAUGAGGAAAAAUCCGCACUUAACAACCAC